UACGAAGGGGCUAGCGUUGCUCGGAAUCACUGGGCGUAAAGGGUGCGUAGGCGGGUUUUUAAGUCAGAGGUGAAAUCCUGGAGCUCAACUCCAGAACUGCCUUUGAUACUGAAAGUCCUGAGUAUGGGAGAGGUGAGUGGAACUGCGAGUGUAGAGGUGAAAUUCGUAGAUAUUCGCAAGAACACCAGUGGCGAAGGCGGCUCACUGGCCCAUAACUGACGCUGAGGCACGAAAGCGUGGGGAGCAACAGG
rnacentral:rRNA from 1 species